AAAGGGAGACCUAAUUCGGGUAGGAGACGAAAAAAAAGUAGUCCCUACCAAGAAUCAAUCCCAAAAGGUCGGAGCGAGGCGAAAUUGGCUUUCAAACUAGGUUCUGGGUUCACACAAGACCUGAAUCAGGAACAAGGGCUAUUAGCUCAGGUGGUUAGAGCGCACCCCUGAUAAGGGUGAGGUCCCUGGUUCGAGUCCAGGAUGGCCCACCUGCACAGGUGGCAAAAACAAAAAAGCUCCGAAUCAGCACCUUAUCUUACUUAUAUAGUAAGAGAGAAUGCUGGCUCUGAGUACAGAGUCCAGAGGAACCUUGAAAACUGCAUAGAGCUAGGUGAAAAAGCCAAAAAAGAAGACCGCAAG
rnacentral:tRNA from 1 species